UGAGGAAUAUUGGUCAAUGGGCGAGAGCCUGAACCAGCCAAGUAGCGUGCAGGAUGACGGCCCUAUGGGUUGUAAACUGCUUUUAUAUGGGAAUAAAGUGAGGGACGUGUCCCUUAUUGCAUGUACCAUACGAAUAAGGACCGGCUAAUUCCGUGCCAGCAGCCGCGGUAAUACGGAAGGUCCAGGCGUUAUCCGGAUUUAUUGGGUUUAAAGGGAGCGUAGGCUGUUUGUUAAGCGUGUUGUGAAAUGUAGGAGCUCAACUUUUAGAUUGCAGCGCGAACUGGCAGACUUGAGUGCGCACAACGUAGGCGGAAUUCAUGGUGUAGCGGUGACAUGCUUAGAUAUCAUGACGAACUCCGAUUGCGAAGGCAGCUUACAGGAGCGCAACUGACGCUAAAGCUCGAAGGUGCGGGUAUCGAACAGG
rnacentral:rRNA from 1 species